rnacentral:ncRNA from 1 species
GCGGGCGUCUCUGGAGAGACCGGACCUUGCGUCCGGCGCCGAAGGUGCAAGGGGUUGCAUGGUCCGCGUUGCUCAGGCACACGCGUACGCGGCAACCCCCGAACUCUCAGGCAAAAGGACAGAGGGGUGCGC